rnacentral:rRNA from 1 species
UACGGGGGGGGCAAGCGUUGUUCGGAAUUACUGGGCGUAAAGGGCUCGUAGGCGGCCAACUAAGUCAUACGUGAAAUCCCUCGGCUUAACCGGGGAACUGCGUCUGAUACUGGAUGGCUUGAGUUCGGGAGAGGGAUGCGGAAUUCCAGGUGUAGCGGUGAAAUGCGUAGAUAUCAGGAGGAACACCGGUGGCGAAGGCGGAUCUCUGGGCCGUAACUGACGCUGAGGAGCGAAAGCAUGGGGAGCGAACAGG